rnacentral:rRNA from 1 species
GACGGAGGGUGCAAGCGUUAUUCGGAAUCAUUGGGCGUAAAGGGCGUGUAGGCGGCCGGUUAAGUCAGGCGUGAAAGCCCAGGGCUCAACCCUGGAAGUGCGCUUGAUACUGGCUGGCUUGAGUUCGGGAGAGGGAAGCGGAAUUCCGGGUGUAGAGGUGAAAUUCGUAGAUAUCCGGAGGAACACCGGUGGCGAAGGCGGCUUCCUGGACCGAAAUUGACGCUGAGACGCGAAAGCGUGGGGAGCAAACAGG